rnacentral:misc_RNA from 1 species
GUUGUCCUUUUUAGAUGGAUAGUAUGUUUUAAGUUAUUAUUAUUAUGUGUGUGAAGGAAUCGACAAUUUGAUUUAGAAAUUUCGUCUUAAAAAUAAAAUGAAUCUUCAGGCUCUUUCAAGUUUUAAAUGAUGAUUUUGUGUAUUGUUUUCAAUUCGAGGUUUUCGAAUCACAAACAUGAUUGAUUAUGUUGUGGCCAAUGAGAGCUAAUAUGCUUAAUAAGAUCUGAUAUUGAGGUCAAUCUUUUGAAUUUCUGUGUUACAAAAAUGGUUUUGUAACUGUUGUAUCUCCCAAAGUGGUGGAAGUGGGAGGAACAACUGCCAAAAAUGCAGGAACUUAUAGUUAAGAAAUAGUGAUGGCCUCUACUGAAAACGUAUGUGGAGAGGACAUAUGUGCUGUGUGGAAGGCCAAAAAUGUUGUGAGAGAUGAUGUCAU